AAUCAACGCUGGCGGCGUGCCUCAGACAUGCAAGUCGAACGAUUAAAGCUCCCUUCGGGGAGUGCAUAGAGUGGCGCACGGGUGAGUAACACGUAAGUAAUCUACCUUUGAGUGGGGAAUAACAGUCGGAAACGGCUGCUAAUACCGCAUAAUGCAGCGGCAUCGCAAGAUGACAGUUGUUAAAGGAGCAAUCCGCUUAAAGAGGAGCUUGCGGCAGAUCAGCUUGUUGGUAAGGUAACGGCUUACCAAGGCUACGAUCUGUAUCCGGUCUAAGAGGACGGUCGGACACACUGACACUGAAUAACGGGUCAGACUCCUACGGGAGGCAGCAGUCGGGAA
rnacentral:rRNA from 1 species